rnacentral:rRNA from 1 species
AACGAACGCUGGCGGCAUGCCUAACACAUGCAAGUCGAACGAGACCUUCGGGUCUAGUGGCGCACGGGUGCGUAACGCGUGGGAACCUGCCCUUAGGUUCGGAAUAACUCCCCGAAAGGGGUGCUAAUACCGGAUAAUGUCUUCGGACCAAAGAUUUAUCGACUUUGGAUGGGCCCGCGUUGGAUUAGCUAGUUGGUAGGGUAAAAGCCUACCAAGGCGACGAUCCAUAGCUGGUCUGAGAGGAUGAUCAGCCACACUGGGACUGAGACACGGCCCAGACUCCUACGGGAGGCAGCAGUGGGGAAUAUUGGACAAUGGGCUAAAGCCUGAUCCAGCAAUGCCGCGUGAGUGAUGAAGGCCUUAGGGUUGUAAAGCUCUUUUACCCGGGAUGAUAAUGACAGUACCGGGAGAAUAAGCUCCGGCUAACUCCGUG